CUCGGGAGGCUGCAGUGGGGAAUAUUGGACAAUGGGCGAAAGCCUGAUCCAGCCAUGCCGCGUGUGUGAAGAAGGCCUUCGGGUUGUAAGGCACUUUCAGUGGGGAAGAAAGCCUUGGGGCUAAUACCCUCGAGGAAGGACAUCACCCACAGAAGAAGCACCGGCUAACUCCGUGCCAGCAGCCGCGGUAAUACGGAGGGUGCGAGCGUUAAUCGGAAUUACUGGGCGUAAAGCGCGCGUAGGCGGUCUGAUAAGCCGGUUGUGAAAGCCCCGGGCUCAACCUGGGAACGGCAUCCGGAACUGUCAGGCUAGAGUGCAGGAGAGGAAGGUAGAAUUCCCGGUGUAGCGGUGAAAUGCGUAGAGAUCGGGAGGAAUACCAGUGGCGAAGGCGGCCUUCUGGACUGACACUGACGCUGAGGUGCGAAAGCGUGGGUAGCAAACAGGAUUAGAUACCCCGGUAGUC
rnacentral:rRNA from 1 species